GACGAACGCUGGCGGCGUGCUUAACACAUGCAAGUCGAACGGAAAGGCCCGGCUUUUGUGGGGUGCUCGAGUGGCGAACGGGUGAGUAACACGUGAGUAACCUGCCCUUGACUUUGGGAUAACUUCAGGAAACUGGGGCUAAUACCGGAUAGGAGCUCCUGCUGCAUGGUGGGGGUGGGAAAGUUUCGGCGGUUGGGGAUGGACUCGCGGCUUAUCAGCUUGUUGGUGGGGUAGUGGCUUACCAAGGCUUUGACGGGUAGCCGGCCUGAGAGGGUGACCGGCCACAUUGGGACUGAGAUACGGCACAGACUCCUACGGGAGGCAGCAGUGGGGAAUAUUGCACAAUGGGCGGAAGCCUGAUGCAGCAACGCCGCGUGCGGGAUGACGGCCUUCGGGUUGUAAACCGCUUUCGCCUGUGACGAAGCGUGAGUGACGGUAAUGGGUAAAGAAGCACCGGCUAACUACGUG
rnacentral:rRNA from 1 species